CAUGUCUGACUCUUAACACGAGGGGAGGUAACUGGUGAGGAGACUAGAGAAGAAGCCACAUGCGCUAGCACAAAGGUGUUACCGCAUGCCGCCCACAUCAUCUACUGGCCCCGCUUUGUAUAGAUCCCAAAGGCACCCAACAAUAGUAGCAAGGGAUGGAAAGAAAAAGAGACACAAAGGAAAGAAACAAAAAGACGCAAAGGAAAGAAACAAAAGAUAGACGCAAA
rnacentral:lncRNA from 1 species